GACGAACGCUGUUGGCGUGCCUAACACAUGCAAGUCGAGCGAAGUGAGUAUUACGGUACGAACUUAGCGGCGGACGGGUGAGUAACGCGUGGACAAUCUACCCUGUAGACUGGGAUAACACCUCGAAAGGGGUGCUAAUACCGGAUAAUGUCGAGAAGCGGCAUCGCUUUUCGAAGAAAGGAGAGAAUCCGCUAUAGGAGGAGUCCGCGUCCCAUUAGCUAGUUGGUGAGGGUAACGGCCCACCAAGGCGACGAUGGGUAGCCGGCCUGAGAGGGUGAACGGCCACACUGGAACUGAGACACGGUCCAGACUCCUACGGGGGGCAGCAGUGGGGAAUAUUGUGCAAUGGGGGAAACCCUGACACAGCAACGCCGCGUGAGCGAAGAAGGCCUUCGGGUUGUAAAGCUCAAUAGUAUGGGAAGAUAAUGACGGUACCAUACGAAAGCCCCGGCUAACUACGUGCCAGCCGCCGCAGUAAUAC
rnacentral:rRNA from 1 species